CACUUCUCCUUGGCUUCGGUCGCACAUUUCAAAUGCUCUCAGUGCACGGCACUUCAUAGUGCAAUUGUGACUUCGAGAAAAAAAGCGACUAAAAUGUUUCGAUCCUUUGAUUUUAGUUACAUUUUGAUUUAAAAGUCAUUCAGACUGCAGUAAUUUCGAAUCAAAAUGAUUACUGAAACAAGAGGAGGAGACUUGUCAAUUCAACGUACGGAGGGACAGCCGAUACAUUGGAUAAUGUAUCUACUGAAAUGUGAACGGGGGAGGAUUUCAUCUCACUUUGAAGUUCCAGUCUUAAACAGCCGAUCAUCACAUCACCUAAAAUGAUAUUCCUCAGUGAACGAGUUUUUCUUUUUUUUUCUCAUCACUUUGGUGUAAAAUCAUUUCCGUCGCAGUCAUUUUUGUGUAAAAUCUCUCAAGUUAUACACUUUAAAGCAUAAUUUGUGCAUCAGUUUUUGAAUGUAAAUUGCUCUGAUUUUUCUCGGUUCUUUUCAUUCUUUCAAUUUGAUUUUUUCGAGAUAUUUCUGGGACACUUUUCGGGGUGAUUUCUGAAACUCGGGUUCCUAUUUUCA